rnacentral:rRNA from 1 species
AGAGUUUGAUCCUGGCUCAGGACGAACGCUGGCGGCGUGCUUAACACAUGCAAGUCGAACGAUGAACUCCAGCUUGCUGGGGGGAUUAGUGGCGAACGGGUGAGUAACACGUGAGUAACCUGCCCUUGACUCUGGGAUAAGCGCUGGAAACGGCGUCUAAUACCGGAUACGAGCUUUAGCCGCAUGGCUAGGAGUUGGAAAGAAUUUCGGUCAAGGAUGGACUCGCGGCCUAUCAGCUAGUUGGUGAGGUAAUGGCUCACCAAGGCGACGACGGGUAGCCGGCCUGAGAGGGUGACCGGCCACACUGGGACUGAGACACGGCCCAGACUCCUACGGGAGGCAGCAGUGGGGAAUAUUGCACAAUGGGCGAAAGCCUGAUGCAGCAACGCCGCGUGAGGGACGACGGCCUUCGGGUUGUAAACCUCUUUUAGUAGGGAAGAAGCGAAAGUGACGGUACCUGCAGAAAAAGCACCGGCUAACUACGUGCCAGCAGCCGCGGUAAUACGUAGGGUGCAAGCGUUGUCCGGAAUUAUUGGGCGUAAAGAGCUCGUAGGCGGUUUGUCGCGUCUGCUGUGAAAUCUGGGGGCUCAACCCCCAGCCUGCAGUGGGUACGGGCAGACUAGAGUGCGGUAGGGGAGAUUGGAAUUCCUGGUGUAGCGGUGGAAUGCGCAGAUAUCAGGAGGAACACCGAUGGCGAAGGCAGAUCUCUGGGCCGUAACUGACGCUGAGGAGCGAAAGCGUGGGGAGCGA